UGUAAUUUCUUGACAUUGUUUUUGUAUAAAUAUGUUUGACAUUGUUUUUAGCAAAACAAAUGUGAUUAAUUUGUACAUGAUUUGAUUCAGUUGUAUUACCCCCCCCCCCCCCCCCCCCCCCCUUGACCACACAGUAAAAUAAGCAUUAUGUUUCAGACUGUUUAUCAAUAACAGCCCCAGAAUUUAAACAUACAAAGUGUUUGGUUCCAAAACGCUUUGUCCUCCCAUUUUGUUUUGAUUUAUUUUGUUUUCCAAGUAAUUGGGUUAUUGUUAUUUGAUUAUCUUUACUUAAUCAGAACAAUACAACUGCAUUUUUUAUAUUACCUGAAAUGCACAAUUAAAUAACAUGACACACAGACAAAUGUUUUAAAAAAAUGGAGAUAUAGCAUUUUGAAACCAAACUCUUCAUACAUCUCCUCAUAUCUUUCAAUAGAAAUCGCUUCAAAAAAGAGUUUCACAAGUACAUGUAUAGCCCCAGGAUAGAGGAAAACACAAGAAUGUCAGAAUUAUGCGGAAAUGCACCUUGGUAAAUGUUUCAUAUACAUUUGUAUACUGGACUUCUGUGUAUGUGUUUGGUUUUAAAGGUUGAACUGUGGCAACAGCACUAAAAUAUCUAAGACAUGAAUUGGGGUGUUGUAUGCCAAGCAAGUUUGCAGCUUGAAUAAUCACCUACUCCAUUCCCUUCCCUUAUGUAACACAUGAUGAUGCGUGCAUUAGAAGGUAAAAGAUCCAUAGAUUGGCUUUAAGAAUUCUCAGUUCUGUCAUUUAGCCUAAUGUUUUUUCUCCCAGAAAUUCUGUUUGCAAAUAUUAUUGUCACUCAUGUGCUUUGUUUGCAUAUGGAGCAGGAUAGCAAUGACCCAAACUGCUGACUUUUCAGUAAUCAGGGGAUGCCACUGUCAUCAAUGGGGGGCAAAGUUUACUGCAAGCUAGAAGUGAAAUCUGUCUUUGUUUGGGCAUAACCAUUCAUCACUGGGUCGUGAAUAGCAGCUGUCACGGUAACUUCUCCGUACUGCAAUGGGAACAAACAAAGUUAGCACGAAAUUAAAUUCAUUCAUCACCUUACUUUUCUAUUGUCCUCUGAAACUAAUUGGGAGUAAUCGCAUGGGGUUUAAUGACUUUUUGUCUGAUGAUCCCAUAGCAUGUGUUUUUUUUUGUGUGCAGCAAAGCUGUUUACAUCUCCGCGGGGACAUCCAAUCUGCGUCCAUCUGGCGUCUCGCAUCACGAUUGGGUGUAACCAAUCAGAGACGACAGCUGGCUGCCACCGCCAAGCUUGUGUGCGGAGUUCGGCACACAGGAAGUGAGGAUAGGGCCAGAAGAGUUCUCUCGUCGUUACUGUCACAGAACUAGACAAAAGAUAACUGGAUUUUAGUUUUGUUUUCUGUUUUAUCGAACCAUUUCCGACGUGUUGCAGACCGGAGCCAAGUAAAAGGAGGUCUGCUGGGAAGCUGAACUGCAGUCUGAGGUCUGAAGCGAGGAGCUUCUCUUCGCUCUCUCACUAUGAUGGCCAACACUAUUGGGGCUGCCACUCUGUGUGGAGAUCUCAAGGCCUUUCUCAGCAACCACAACCUGCCCAAGGUAAGAGUCCCCACACCACAACACCCUUCUGAU